GGGAAUGUAGCUCAAUGGACAGAGUGCUUGCCUAGCAUGCACAAAGCUCUGGGUUCAAUCCCCAGCCCCG
rnacentral:tRNA from 1 species